CCCAAGAAUAUACUGGCUAACGCGGACCGCAAACUGAAAAUAUGUGACUUUGGACUUGCCCGUGCAUCAUUCAAUGAUGCCCCUUCAGCUAUAUUUUGGACAGAUUAUGUGGCAACAAGGUGGUACCGGGCACCUGAACUAUGUGGUUCCUUUUUCUCCAAAUACACUCCUGCAAUUGAUAUUUGGAGCAUUGGGUGCAUAUUUGCUGAACUUCUCACUGGAAGGCCACUAUUUCCUGGGAAGAAUAUUGUACACCAAUUAGAUAUUAUAACAGAUCUUCUUGGGACUCUAUCAUCUGAGACCUUAUCUCAGAUUCGAAAUGAGAAGGCCAAGAGAUAUUUGAG